CAGUCGCCGCGGGAAUACGGGGGGGGCAAGUGUUAUUCGGAAUGACUGGGCGUAAAGGGCACGUAGGCGGUGAAAAGGGUGGAAAGUGAAAGUCGCCAAAACACUGGCGGGGUGCUUUCUUGACCAUUUCACUUGAGUGAGAUAGGGGAGAGUGGAAUUUCGUGUGGAGGGAUCAAAUCCUAAGAUAUACGAAGGAACGCCAACCGCGAAGGCAGCUCUCUGGGUCCCCACUGACGCUGGGGUGCGAAAGCAUGGGGAGCAAACAGGAUCAGAUACCCCUGUAGUCCCUGUCUCUUAUACA
rnacentral:rRNA from 1 species